GCCGCAUUGGCGUAGUGGUAUGCGCGCCCCACUUGUACCGAGCUGAUAAGCUUUGGGAUAUGGGGAGGUCACUCGUUCGACCCGGGUAUGUGGCA